GGCAAAUUCAAUGUGACAAAU
rnacentral:miRNA from 1 species